GAUGAAGAACGUAGCGAAAUGCGAUAAGUAAUGCGAAUUGCAGAAUCCGUGAGUCAUCGAAUCUUUGAACGCACAUUGCGCCCGCCAGUAUUCUGGCGGGCAUGCCUGUUCGAGCGUCAUUACAACCCUCAAGCCCCCCGGCUUGGUGUUGGGGACCGGCCACCGGUGCCCUGCUGCUUCCGCGGCAGGCGCACCCGGCCGCCCCCGAAAUGAAUUGGCGGCCCCGUCGCGGCCUCCCUCUGCGUAGUAGCACACAUCUCGCAGCUGGAGCGCGGCGCGGCCACUGCCGUAAAACGCACCAACUUUUUUUACAGUUGACCUCGAAUCAGGUAGGAAUACCCGCUGAACUUAAGCAUAUCAAUAAGCGGAGGA
rnacentral:misc_RNA from 1 species